rnacentral:rRNA from 1 species
GACGAACGCUGGCGGCGUGCCUAAUACAUGCAAGUUGAGCGCUGAAGGUUGGUACUUGUACCAACUGGAUGAGCAGCGAACGGGUGAGUAACGCGUGGGGAAUCUGCCUUUGAGCGGGGGACAACAUUUGGAAACGAAUGCUAAUACCGCAUAAAAACUUUAAACACAAGUUUUAAGUUUGAAAGAUGCAAUUGCAUCACUCAAAGAUGAUCCCGCGUUGUAUUAGCUAGUUGGUGAGGUAAAGGCUCACCAAGGCGAUGAUACAUAGCCGACCUGAGAGGGUGAUCGGCCACAUUGGGACUGAGACACGGCCCAAACUACUACGGGAGGCAGCAGUAGGGAAUCUUCGGCAAUGGACGAAAGUCUGACCGAGCAACGCCGCGUGAGGGAAGAAGGUUUUCGGAUCGUAAAACUCUGUUGGUAGAGAAGAACGUUGGUGAGAGUGGAAAGCUCAUCAAGUGACGGUAACUACCCAGAAAGGGACGGCUAACUACGUG